UCCGGUGACCAUACUGAAAGGGCCACACCCGUUACCUUUCCGAACACGGUAGUUAAGCCUUUCAGGCCGAUGAUAGUGCCAAAAGUGCGAAAGUAGGUAUCGCCGGAU
rnacentral:rRNA from 1 species